GCAGUCGACGGAGUUAUUUUCUUCACUCCGAGCUUUUUGCCAGUUAGCCAGAGCGGCAAUCGGUUUUGCCCAGCAUAUAAAGCGAAACCGAUUUAGGCUCAUAAAGUAAGACUAACACAGAGGGCAGAGAGUUGGGAGUGAAGAAAAUAACUUAGUGGCGAACGGGUGAGUAACGCGUGAGUAACCUGCCCUGGAGUGGGGGACAACAGUUGGAAACGACUGCUAAUACCGCAUAAGCCCACGGAUCCGCAUGGAUCUGCGGGAAAAGGAUUUAUUCGCUUCAGGAUGGACUCGCGUCCAAUUAGCUAGUUGGUGAGGUAACGGCCCACCAAGGCGACGAUUGGUAGCCGGACUGAGAGGUUGAACGGCCACAUUGGGACUGAGACACGGCCCAGACUCCUACGGGAGGCAGCAGUGGGGGAUAUUGCACAAUGGGGGAAACCCUGAUGCAGCGACGCCGCGUGGAGGAAGAAGGUUUUCGGAUUGUAAACUCCUGUCG
rnacentral:rRNA from 1 species